AUAAUUCUCCUCUACAUUUUUUUCCUUUCUUUUUCUUCUCUUUUUCUUUCCAUUAAUUUUGUUCCCCACUCCAUCAACUCCACUACCCUAUGCUCCCCACCAUCUCCACUACCUUUGCUCCCCAUCAACUCCAACACUUCACCCAUUCCUUCCAUUUCGCACCAGCAAUCACAAAGAGAAGGAAGACUUGGCUUAACUACUUUGCCAAGAUUUCAAGCUGCUCCAGUCCAGUAGUACCCCAACACUCGAAGCUAGAGUUUAUUGGGUGAAAAACCGUGCAUGAGGUCGAGCGCAAGAAUAAGAGCUCGUCAAGGAGUCACUAAUCUGUAGCAAAGCUUUGCUAUCAGGUUGAGCAGCUGCCGAUGGUGAUGAAGUGACGAGCGGGACUCUUUUGUCUUAUUAUGUAUUAAUGAACUCUAGGGUUACAUGUCUUCAUACAUGUAAUCAGAACCUUAUUCCGCUGCGUACUCAGAAGUUUUAUGUUAUUUUGGAUAAGUCGGAGUUAUCCGAACUUGUUAGUUAUUUGAGUCUAUACGACAAAAACUCUGUUAUAUUAUAGAUAUCUAUGUUGUUAACAAUGAUGAAAUA